rnacentral:rRNA from 1 species
CCUACGGGAGGCAGCAGUAGGGAAUUUUGCGCAAUGGGCGAAAGCCUGACGCAGCAACGCCGCGUGAUCGAGACGCCCUUCGGGGUGUAAAGAUCUGUCAGUGGGUACGAAACUUGACGGUACCCACAGAGGAAGCACCGGCUAACUCCGUCCCAGCAGCCGCGGUAAUACGGGGGGUGCAAGCGUUGUCCGGACUCAUUGGGCGUAAAGAGGUCGUAGGCGGCAGGUAAAGUCGGGUGUGAAAGGCAGAGGAUCAAUUUCUGUACGGCACUGGAUACUUGCGAGCUAGAAUGCGGUAGAGGUAAAGGGAAUUCCUGGUGUAGCGGUGAAAUGCUUAGAUAUCAGGAGGAACAUCGGUGGCGUAAGCGCUUUACUGGGCCGUAAUUGACGCUGAGGAACGAAAGCCAGGGUAGCAAAUGGGAUUAGAUACCCUUGUAGUC